GACAGAGGGUGCAAACGUUGCUCGGAAUCACUGGGCGUAAAGGGCGCGUAGGCGGGAAUGUAAGUCGGGCGUGAAAUCCCCAGGCUCAACCUGGGAACUGCACUCGAAACUGCGUUUCUUGAGUAUCGGGAGAGGAAAGCGGAAUUCCUGGUGUAGAGGUGAAAUUCGAGAUAGAUAUCAGGAGGAACACCAGUGGCGAAGGCGGCUUUCUGGA
rnacentral:rRNA from 1 species